UACGAAGGGGACUAGCGUUGUUCGGAAUUACUGGGCGUAAAGCGCGCGUAGGCGGAUCGCUAAGUCAGGGGUGAAAUCCCAGGGCUCAACCCUGGAACUGCCUUUGAUACUGACGAUCUGGAGAUCGGGAGAGGUUGGUGGAAUUCCGAGUGUAGAGGUGAAAUGCGUAGAUAUGUGGAGGAACACCUGUGGCGAAGGCGCCUUGCUGGCCAAUUUCUGACGCUGAGGCGCGAAAGCGUGGGGAGCAAACAGG
rnacentral:rRNA from 1 species